rnacentral:rRNA from 1 species
GACAGAGGUGCCAAGCGUUAGGCGGAAUUACUGGGCGUAAAGCGCACGUAGGCGGCUUUGUAAGUUAGAGGUGAAAGCCCGGGGCUCAACUCCGGAAUUGCCUUUAAGACUGCAUCGCUAGAAUUGUGGAGAGGUAAGUGGAAUUCCGAGUGUAGAGGUGAAAUUCGUAGAUAUUCGGAAGAACACCAGUGGCGAAGGCGACUUACUGGACACAUAUUGACGCUGAGGUGCGAAAGCGUGGGGAGCAAACAGG